GACGAACGCUGGCGGCGUGCUUAACACAUGCAAGUCGAACGGAAAGGCCCUGCUUUUGUGGGGUGCUCGAGUGGCGAACGGGUGAGUAACACGUGAGUAACCUGCCCUUGACUUUGGGAUAACUUCAGGAAACUGGGGCUAAUACCGGAUAGGAGCUCCUGCUGCAUGGUGGGGGUUGGAAAGUUUCGGCGGUUGGGGAUGGACUCGCGGCUUAUCAGCUUGUUGGUGGGGUAGUGGCUUACCAAGGCUUUGACGGGUAGCCGGCCUGCGCGGGUGACCGGCCACAUUGGGACUGAGAUACGGCCCAGACUCGUACGGGAGGCAGCAGUGGGGAAUAUUGCACAAUGGGCGGAAGCCUGAUGCAGCAACGCCGCGUGCGGGAUGACGGCCUUCGGGUUGUAAACCGCUUUCGCCUGUGACGAAGCGUGAGUGACGGUAAUGGGUAAAGAAGCACCGGCUAACUACGUG
rnacentral:rRNA from 1 species